UUAAAUUUUAUUUAUUAAUUUUAAUUUAUUUAAAUUUUAAGUAUUAAAAAUAAUUAUAAAUUUUAAAGUUUUAGUAUUGUUUAAAGAAAAAAUAAAUUUAAUUAUAGUUUAAUAGUAUUGUAAAAGAAAAUUGAAAUAAUUUGAAAAAUUUUUAUUUUAAAAGAAAAUUUAAUUUAUUGUACCUUGUGUAUCAGUGUUUAUUAAAUAAAAAAUAUUUAUAUAUUUUUCUCGAUUUUAAAAGAGUUAAUAUAAUAUUAAAGUUAAUGUGAUAAAAUUAUUUUAAAUAUUAUAUUAGAAAUGAAAUGUUAUUCGUUUUUAAAGGUAUCUAGUUUUUCAAGAAAUAAAUUUAAUUUAGAAAUUAUAAAUUUAUUUAAAAAAUUUUUUAAUUAAAUAAUUUAUAAUUUUAAUAUUUUAUGGGAUAAGCUAUAAAAUAAAUUUUUAAAAAUAGUAAAUAAAUUUAAUAAAUAUAUGUUUAGAAUUAGCAAUUAUUAAUAAAUAUGUUAUAAUUUAUUUUAUAAAAUAAAUUAUUUAUUAAAUUUUAAAUAUUUAUUGAAAUAUUAAUUUUAAUUUUUAAAAUUAAUUAAUAAUGAUAAAAUUAGUAUAUUUUAUUGUAAAAUAAAUUUAAAUGAUAAGUUAAAGUAAAG
rnacentral:rRNA from 1 species